ACCUCCUUACCUCUGUGCCCUCUGUCAAUCCCCUUGAGCCCACGGUCAAGCCAAAGCCUGGCAUGUGUGAGUGCGUGAGGUUGGGGUCCCGAGCCAUGGUGAGACGUUCUUUCCCAUCCACAUGGUUCAACUCUUCUAGAUAUAUUACAGCUCUGACUUAAAACAUGAUUCCAGGUGGCCUUGCUUCUAGAUAUAUUAUUUCACUGGAUGUUGUACAACAUUGUUAGGCCUAUUUUAAAUACAAACUGUGAAAAGUAUGGAAAGUAUCAGUUAUACUUUUUAGUUUAAAAAUUGACAAAAGAUGUGUGUAUUUGAUGUGUGUAUUUGUGUAUAUUAAUAACUUACUAUUUAUUACAUGAUUAACUAUUGUGCCUGAUUCAUUCCUCAACAUGUAGUCUACUGCUCAGCAACAGCCUAAACUUUCAUUUGGUCAUAUCAUUUAGUCAGAAUCACAUAAUAUUGUGGGCAGAAGCCCAAUAAAGGGUCCAUCAAUAAAAGGUUGGUGAUGAUGUUUCUGGUUUUUAUUUGUAGAAUCUUCACCCUACAACAAUAAAAUAUAUGCCUAACGAUUGCUAUUUUCUCUUUGGGUAAAAUACAGGUUGCAUUACAGUAGAGUAGGCCGAGUUUAUGACUACAGGUGCGCAUGUUGGGGGUAAGGCGAAACCGCAGGAUGGAAACGUAGGUUUUUGGUGUACCAGAGCUGUUUCCUUCCAUUGCGUCACGCAGAACACCAAUUAUUGCAUCACAAUAGCUUGGCGCACACCUGCAAUGAGUGUGUUCCAUUACAUCCCGCUGUGGUCAGACUCACUGUAUCCACCAGACAGCUCGGUAACAGUGUGACAUUGCUUAUUACUUCAACCCCAAGUUUCCCCUUGGUAAAGAACGCAUUUAUCUAAACAGCACUGGAUAGAAGCUACAUCUCCGUGCGCAUUUUGGCCAUCUUUCAUCCUACAGUGGUCGUGGUGAUGUGUGACUGAAGAAGUCAUUAUGUUUGCCAAUUCAGUCGGGGACCUUGGCCUCCGUAAGCUAGUGCCACGGCUCCUCAAAACAUCCGAGGAGGAGUUCGGCUCAGAGGGGGUCAUCGGGUACUUCAAACUAUUCGUGGUUCUCCUCUCCGUCCUUCUUUUCCUCUUCUGGGUUAUCCAUCUACGGAAAGAUGAUGAUGAGGUCUACGACGAGAUUGACUCAAACCUGGUCAACAGGUUCACAGAGGGAGUCACCCUCAACUACAAAUACCUCCAGCGCUUGGAGGGGCGGCUGGACAUGAAGACGCUACAGAUAGACAGACUGAACGCUGAAGCGAACUUUGACCUCUCCUCCUGCUGCUGCUAUGGUUCUGACUCCUGCUCUGGUGGACCCUCCUGCAGCUACACCUCUGACUCCUGGUCUGAGAGGUCCUCCUGCAGAUACACCUCUGACUCCUGCUCUGGGAGGUCCUCCUGCAGCUACACCUCUGACUACUGCUCUGGGAGGUCCUCCUGCAGCUACACCUCUGACUCCUGGUCUGAGAGGUCCUCCUGCAGAUACACCACUGACUCCUGCUCUGGGAGGUCCUCCUGCAGAAACACCUCUAGAACUAAAACACAUUCUAGAUCACAUUGUAGAUCUUCCGGAUCUUCUAGGUCCUCCUCCAGAUCUAGUGGUGGUGACUGCAGCACCUGCCGACACUGUAACAAACUGCCGGACAGGUUCCUGGGCGGUAGUCUGGAUAGUCCCUACCCAUUGGAUAGCCUGGAUUGCCCUCACCCAUUGGAUAGCCCCAGCCCAGUGGAAAGCCCCAGACAACCAUUUAGUCUUAGCCCACUACCAGGAGAUGAUAAGGGGCACGUCAGAUACUAUGGCUCCACGCAAGCCUCCAACACCUCCUGCCGUUCGACUCGCCACUCCUCUGAAAAUGCCUCCC
rnacentral:lncRNA from 13 species